UACGUAGGCAGCAAGCGUUGUUCGGAGUUACUGGGCGUAAAGGGUGUGUAGGCGGUUAUUUAAGUUUGGUGUGAAAUCUCGAGGCUCAACUUCGAGCUGUCGGUGGAAACUGUCUGGCUAGAGUCCGGAAGAGGAGAAUGGAAUUCCUGGUGUAGCGGUGAAAUGCGCAGAUAUCAGGAAGAACACCCGUGGCGAAGGCGGUUCUCUGGGACGGUACUGACGCUGAGACGCGAAAGCGUGGGGAGCGAACAGG
rnacentral:rRNA from 1 species